UCCCUGGUGGCUCAGAUGGUAAAGCGUCUGCCUACAAUGCGGGAGACUCGGGUUCGAUCCCUGGGUCGGGAA
rnacentral:tRNA from 1 species